rnacentral:rRNA from 1 species
AAUCAACGCUGGCGGCGUGCCUCAGACAUGCAAGUCGAACGCGAAACCUUCCUUCGGAGGGGAGUAGAGUGGCGCACGGGUGAGUAACACGUAGGUAAUCUACCUUUGGGUGGGGAAUAACAGCCGGAAACGGCUGCUAAUACCGCAUAAUGCAGCGGCUCGACAUCGAGACAGUUGUUAAAGCGGGGGAUCGUAAGACCUCGCGCCUAAAGAGGAGCCUGCGGCAGAUAGCUAGUUGGUAAGGUAACGGCUUACCAAGGCGACGAUCUGUAGCCGGCCUGAGAGGGCGGUCGGCCACACUGACACUGACAUACGGGUCAGACUCCUACGGGAGGCAGCAGUCGGG